UCACAGAUCAAACUCAACUCAAACUCAACUGCUUAUGAUCUCUUUCUCAUCGAUCAAACACAAAAAUCCUAUUUUCACUGAUCCAUUUCAUUACUUUGGGACUCCACUAUCGCACCCACUACUCCUUCUCCUUCUCCUUCUCCUUCAUCUGCCCUCUCUCUAUUUCUCAUUUUCUCUCUUCAUCUUCUUCGAUCUCUUCUGUUAUCUUUCCCUUUUUCCUCUUUUAGUUUAUAUGUGAGAUCAAAGAAGCAUCAAUAUCGUGAAUACAGUCCCGAUCCGACCUCAAGAUGCGACAUGCAUGACAAUCACACCUUAAAUCCAAUCCGUGAGUUUUUCAUUUUGAACUCUCAACCCUCCAAUCUCUUUUCUUUAUUUCCCCAAAUUUGAAUGAAAAAUAUUUUGUCUGGUUUGAACGAAGGUCUGGGUGCGAAAAUUUUGUCUGGGUGCGAAAUUUGGGUAUUGUAGGAAGAAAUACAUGGACUAGAGGAAGAUUUGAAGGCCUGCCAUGAACAUCGAUCUGGGCAUAACGACGGUGAGAAGAGAAGGAAAAAUGGAAAAGGAAAAACAAUAAAAAAAGAUUUGACAAGAGGAGUUGAUCUUGUCAAGUUUGACAAGGUGAGACUGGAGUAGUCAUCCACGGUGGAUUUGAACGGUGGGUUAGAGAGACAGGGUGUGGUCUUUUGUUAACGUUGGAGCUCCACGGUGGAUUUUGACUACACCGUUGGAGAUGCUUUUAUUGCCCAUUCCAAUGAAUUUAUUAGACAUGAGUCAAUCUAUUCUAAUAUAAGGUGUUCAUAUUUGUGCCUAAAUACACAAAUCUAAAUUAAAGUCAUAAUAAAAUAAUAAUUUUUGUAUUUUUUAAGACAAUUUUACCCUCAUCACUUCAACAUGUAUAAAAGAGAGAAAGUGAAAGAGUGAGAAGACUUUGCCGGAACCUCAAUGGACUCCGGUCACCGGUCGCUAGACUCCGGUCACCGGUCGCUAGACUCCGGUCACCGGUCGCCAGUCUCCGGUCACCGAUCACUGGACUCCGGUCAACGGUCACCGGUUCCCGGUCGCCGGAAUUUCUUCGGUCGCUUGUUAUUGACUCCUAGUAACUCAGAUUUUCUCUGGUCGUCGGAUUUCGGUCACCGAUAACUCGGUUACUGACCCCUGAAAACUUGGUUACUGACCCCCAAUAUUUGGUUACUGACACUCAAUAAUCAAUUACUGACCCCAAUAAUCAACUUAUUUCAGCUUAUUGUAAUAGAAAAGAAGAAAUACCGGAACAUAAUGGAGUUAUUGACCCCAAUAUUAGUUAUUAACCCCCAAUAAAAUGUUGAAACAUUAUUGUGAGGCCCAUAAGGGCAUCCAAACCCCCAACCCAUUGUCAAGGACCCAAGCCCAAACCAAAAAAUUGCUCUGGGCACCCAAAGCUGGCACCCACACACUUCCCGGCCGCCAUUGUCGUCGACUCCGGCGUCCAACCUUACGCCAAUCGUCACCCAUCCAUUUCUGUUCGGAUCCAGAUCUUCAUUGGCUUCAGGCCAGAGCAGACCUGGCGUAGAUGAACGCUGAUCGACAAGCGCCGAACGCCAACUGCUGAGCGACAAGCGUUGACCGCCAAUCGUCGAGUGACGAGCGCCUACUGCCGUGCGAUGAGCGCAGAGCGACGAGGCCUCGGUCUUUGGGAAGAAAUCAAAUUCUAGAGUUUUGGAUAUGCAGAGUAUUACGGUGAUUCUCAACAUAUCUCACUUGGUGACGGUGUCCAUGCGGCGGAGGAGCGACGACACAGCUUAAAGAUCUCACCGGCAGCAGAGUUUAGCUCGGUUCACGUCUUUAAGGUAGCGGCUUCGUCGUUGAGGGCUCGAGUCUCUGAUUCAAGAGAGAGAGAGAGAGAGAGAGAGAGAGAGAGAGAGAGAGAGAGAGANNNNNNNNNNNNNNNNNNNNGAG
rnacentral:lncRNA from 1 species